GGGGACUACCGGGGUUUCUAAUCCUGUUUGCUCCCCACGCUUCCGCACCUCAGCGUCAGUAUCGAGCCAGUGAGCCGCCUUCGCCACUGGUGUUCCUCCGAAUAUCUACGAAUUUCACCUCUACACUCGGAAUUCCACUCACCUCUCUCGACCUCAAGACCGGGAGUUUCAAAGGCAGUUCCGGGGUUGAGCCCCGGGAUUUCACCCCUGACUUUCCAGUCCGCCUACGUGCGCUUUACGCCCAGUAAUUCCGAACAACGCUAGCCCCCUCCGUAUUACCGCGGCGGCUG
rnacentral:misc_RNA from 1 species